UAACUCUGGGCCAUACCUCCUGGUGGCAGCCCAUAUAAAAGGAAACUUGCUUCCUUCCCCCACCCCCAUUUUCCCUCACUCUUACUGGCUUGUUCAUCUGUUUUGUUAGUGAGCUAUUCCUUUGCUGGUGUUAUAACCUACUUUUUUUGUUUCAGGAUUUCAACCUAGACCAAAGACCAGCAUCUCUUCAGGAAUCCUCCAGGACUCUAGCACUAGAUGGUACAGCUGAGACACCCAGUCUCGUGGACUGAACAACUACUAGAUUCUUGGCCUUUUCAUUGGGAGACUGCUAUGGUUGAAAUACUGGACCACAACCUGUGUUUCCAGAGCUGUCUAACCUGGGCAGGAGUGAGCACCUUCCAGCAGGUGACCUAAUACUUUAGGUGGCCCAGUCUAAAGAAAAAGCAGUGUUGGCUGCCUGCCUUCCCUAGGUCUGGAGCCCGUGUGUCCGUCUGCUGCCACUGUCCUCUUCUGACGUCAGACUGAAGUUUCUUCAGCCUUCUCUAACAAGAACAAAACACCAGUGACUCUUCAGGAAUUUUCCAGGCCUUCAGCACCACAUUGAGACUGCUGAAGUGAUCAGCUUUUUGGACUAAACAGCCUCUUUAGUCUUGUCCUGUGCAGAAGACAGCUGGAUCAUGGUGAAUGACAGUUGACUAUGGCAAACUUCAUCAAGUCGUGACUGCAACUACAGAUACAGUGUCCUCAUUUGAGCGGAUUAAUAUAUCUCCGGGCACCUGCUAUGCAGCUAUUGGUCUGGCAAGUUCUUUUUUCUUGAAACCUGUCUACAUGGACGGCCAGAAACAAUUUGCUUUCAGCUGGCAAGGCUAGCAGUAUACCUUUACCUCAAGGGUAUAUUAACUCUCGAGCCCUGUGUCAUAGUUUAGUUUGCAGGGAACCUGAUAUACAAGGUAUAUCACACUGGCCCAUUACAUCGAUGACAUAUUGAUAGGACUAGGGAAAUGGCAGGCACUUUGGACGUGUUAGUAAAGCAUUUUGGACUUUGGUGGCAGAAAGGUCCGUACUUGGGUGUGUUACUCCAUCCCUAUACACCAAAUAAACUCAGAAAGCUGCUAGUUUUGAGUGGGGCCCAGCUGCUGUGCCAUUGGCUCUGUCACUUGGAUCAUAUGAUGCAGCCCUCUUGAUGGUGACUUAAGGUGGCAUUGGCAGAUAGGGAUGCUGUUGGGAGUCUUUGGCAGGUCCUUAUAGGUGAAUCACAGUGGAGACUCGUGGGAUACUGGAGCGGACCCUAUGAUCAUCUAUAGACAACCAUCUUCCCUUUGAGGGAUAACUCUUGGCUUGAUAUUCGGCCUUAGUGGAAACUUAACAUUUAACAAUUGGGAUGUCAAGGUCUGUAUUUAUGUCAUAGUCUCUCAGCCCUAAAUGGGAUGUCCUUAAUCGCCACCACACAAGGCUAGGGUUAUAUGCAGAAGAGGUGACUGAAGGAUUUUUAAGAUCCAGAGGUGGUAGAAACAGAGUUUUCCAGACAGAAGAUGGAGUCACAUAUGGACUCAAAGACACUGUGUGACAGCACACACAAGAUCCACACAGGUUUGAACUAGACAUUAUCCCAGCACUGAGAAGGGGGAAGUACACCAAAGUGUCAUACCUAACCUAGAAGCUAUUAACAAUUGAUAGGGCUGAAAAAGAGAAAAUUAGUCUUCUCCCACGGAGUGUCACCAUAUCAGCCACACUCCAGGGGAAGCCCCAUGCCCAGGAGUGGUUGGCCAACACAAAUCAGACUCUAGAUGUUUUUGUUGUGGCGGUUUUUGUGGUUGUUUAUUUGGCUGGUUGCUGUAUCAUUGGUGAGCUGGAUGUGAAUGAGCUGAACCUUGCCCUGAAGAAGCAGCUGUAGUACUGAGUGAGAACCAAGAGACAGUGUUGAAGGAAGGGCACAAGAGCACUGAGCAGAGAUUGCAUGGACUAGGGAGCUGUGAGAGGCCCAGCCAAGGGCUUCUUUGAGAAGAUGAAAAGUCUAGCAAAACAGAUCACAAAACCCGCAGACAGCACUGGAGAAGGACAAGGGGACAGAGUGAUGCCAGGUUGAAUAGAACUAGCGGUUUCUUCAGACUGACUCGAAAUAAGCAGCUGCCCACAGCUAGCAACUGCAGUCUCGACAUUUGUCCCAAAGAAAUGAAACUCCGUAUCCACUCAGAUGCACACAUGGAGAGUCAGGCUCUCCUCUCACUCCCUCUUUGCACCAUCUCUGCCAACCAGAGGCUUACCCUAUAGCCCAGAUUUCCCUUGGACCUAGUAUGUAGUCAUGUUGGUCUUCAAUUCAUAGGAACUCUUCUGCCUCAGCCUCAUGGGCGCUAGGAUUGUAUGUAUGAGCCCAUAACAUCUAUGUUUUGUUGACAAUGCCGUACAUGACUAUUGUAUCUACAUCAUUUUUACUUCUCCAGCUCCAGCUCCUCCCGCACCCUAUCCCAGUCCUCCUCAAAUUCAUGACCUCUUUUUUAAUGGUUAUUGUUUUAUAUGUAUGUGCAUAAGUAUACAUAUAUUUUAAGUAAACAAAAUAAUAUCUUCCUCUA